CAAUAGCGUAUAUUAAAGUUGUUGCAGUUAAAAAGCUCGUAGUUGGAUUUCUGGUAGGAGGUUAGGGCGCACUGUCGUGAGGCCCGCGUCUUCUGCCAUCCUUCUGUUAACCCUUCAUGGCAUUGAUUUGUCGGUUGGGGGCUCAGAUAUUUUACCUUGAGAAAAUUAGAGUGUUUCAGGCAGGCCUGUGCCCGGAUACAUUAGCAUGGAAUAAUGGAAUAGGACUUUAGCCUCUUCUGUUGGUCUGAGGGGUUGAAGUAAUGAUUAAUAGGGAUAGUUGGGGGCAUUAGUACUUAACUGUCAGAGGUGAAAUUCUCGGAUUUGUUAAAGACUAACUUAUGCGAAAGCAUUUGCCAAGGAUGUUUUCAUUAAUCAAGAACGAAAGUUAGGGGAUCAAAGACGAUUAGAUACCAU
rnacentral:rRNA from 1 species